AUUGAACGCUGGCGGCAGGCCUAACACAUGCAAGUCGAACGAGUGGCGGACGGGUGAGUAAUGUAUGGGAAACUGCCUGAUGGAGGGGGAAAACUACUGGAAAAGGUAGCUAAUACCGCAUACAAUCAGAUGUGCCCAGAUGGGAUUAGGUAGUUGGUGUGGUAACGGCGCACCAAGGCGACGAUCCCUAGCUGGUCUGAGAGGAUGACCAGCCACACUGGAACGUAGACACGUUCCAGACUCCUACGGGAGGCAGCGUUGGGGAAUAUGGCACAAUGGGCGAAAGCCUGAUGCAGUCAUGCCGCGUGUAUGAAGAAGGCCUUCGGGUUGUAAAGUACUUUCAGCGGGUAGGCGUUACCCGCAGAAGAAGCACCGGCUAACUCCGUGCCAGCAGCCGCGGUAAUUC
rnacentral:rRNA from 1 species